rnacentral:rRNA from 1 species
CACAGGGGGUAUUGCCUAAGAACCGGCGAGUGAAGCGGCAAAAGCUCAAAUUUGAAAUCUGGCACCUUCGGUGUCCGAGUUGUAAUUUGAAGAAGGUAACUUUGGAGUUGGCUCUUGUCUAUGUUCCUUGGAACAGGACGUCACAGAGGGUGAGAAUCCCGUGCGAUGAGAUGCCCAAUUCUAUGUAAAGUGCUUUCGAAGAGUCGAGUUGUUUGGGAAUGCAGCUCUAAGUGGGUGGUAAAUUCCAUCUAAAGCUAAAUAUUGGCGAGAGACCGAUAGCGAACAAGUACAGUGAUGGAAAGAUGAAAAGAACUUUGAAAAGAGAGUGAAAAAGUACGUGAAAUUGUUGAAAGGGAAGGGCUUGAGAUCAGACUUGGUAUUUUGCGAUCCUUUCCUUCUUGGUUGGGUUCCUCGCAGCUUACUGGGCCAGCAUCGGUUUGGAUGGUAGGAUAAUGACUAAGGAAUGUGGCUCUACUUCGGUGGAGUGUUAUAGCCUUGGUUGAUACUGCCUGUCUAGACCGAGGACUGCGUCUUUUGACUAGGAUGUUGGCAUAAUGAUCUUAAGCCACCCCUCUUGAACAACAGACCAAAAAAAAAUUUUUCCCAAGAGGUACAAUCUGCAAAAGAGGAGGGCAUCGAUUCAAAGGACUCUUACCCUCUUUGGGGCUGGUUUCCUUGAGGGAUUAUU